UAUAUGUUGGGUCGGGGCGGUAGAAGCUGACAUGAUGAGGGGAGUAGGGAUAAUGAGAUAUUGUUGACUAAAAUGGCCUGGGCCAGAAGAGGCCCAUUCUUAAGGCAUAGCCAGCAGUUCUGGGCGAGAGAGGGGUUGGAGGAGUUUAUGAGAGCAAAGACAGUGUUUAGAAUACUUUCGGUUUCGGGGUCAAGCUGUAGCACUCCCCGGUUCUCAGGUAAGAUUAGGGGGUGAUAGACAGGAGGUUCUUGGCUCUUGAUCAUAAUUUCAAUCCUGCGCGAUACAAUUGCAUUGCGGGUUUGAUCUUGGGGCCCGCCCCCAUCAGAUACUCCUAUGGGUGCCACGGAGUUGAAGCAGACAUCCUGCCCUGGGGUGCCAUAACAAGGGGAUGGCAUCGAGUUGCUGCCGGCCCCCUUAUCGCUGGGUCUUUGAAUUAAAGCAAUGUGCAUUUCAUUUAUAUUUUUUCCUUCAGACCCUGAGGAUCUGUGAAGGAUCACCUUAGACAAGUCUCAAAUUUGUCUAAGUCAAGGAGAAAAGGUGAACAAUGGCUGACGGAGCUUACCUCUUGGCUCAGGCAAAAGACCCUGAGGACGAAACAUCCUACAAGGGAAGCUGAAACUACCCCUCCUUCAAGCACUAAAGACUACCCUGAGCCACCAAGACUGAGCCUGUGAUGGACUCCAAGACAAGGAUCCAUUUGCCCUGCACUGCCUACCUACACGUACCCACCCAUAAUUGCCUAUUUUCUUUAUAUAAACCUGGAAGUAUUUUCAGCACUU